CCCCCAGCCAGUCCGUCAGGGUUGGAGAUAGUCGAGUUUUGAGUCAACUACUGAGUCAGAAACUCAAGCCUACACAGGAGAACAAUCCAUUAAAAAGAUGGUUCCAGAAGGCCAAGUACUUUUUAUUGGAUAACUGGCAGAGGAUGUGGAUUAUGGCGUUGUGGCUUGGAAUUGUAGCUGGUUUAUUUACAUACAAGUUUAUACAAUAUAAGAAUAAGGCCGUAUACGAUAUAAUGGGUUAUUGCGUUUGUGUUGCCAAAGGAGGGGCAGAGACCCUUAAAUUCAACAUGGCCUUGAUUUUACUGCCAGUCUGCCGGAACACCAUUACUUGGCUCAGAAACAAGACCAAGUUGGGAGUAGCUGUGCCUUUCGAUGACAAUCUGAAUUUCCAUAAGGUGAUUGCAGUUGGAAUUGCAAUUGGGGUAGGACUGCAUGCAGGCGCUCACUUAACGUGUGAUUUCCCGAGGCUUCUUCAUGCGACUGAAGAGGAAUACGAGCCUAUGAGACCUUACUUCGGGGAUGAACAACCACCAAAUUACUGGUGGUUUGUGAAAGGCGUAGAGGGUGUCACCGGUAUUAUAAUGGUGGUGCUAAUGGCUAUAGCAUUCACUUUAGCCACUCCUUGGUUUAGGCGUAAUAAGCUCAACCUUCCAAAACCCCUCAAGAAACUCACCGGCUUCAAUGCCUUCUGGUAUUCUCACCAUCUAUUCGUCAUCGUCUACACUCUACUCAUAGUCCAUGGCAUUUACCUCUACCUCACAAAAAAAUGGUAUCAGAAAACGACAUGGAUGUAUCUGGCAGUGCCAAUAAUCCUUUAUGCAUGUGAAAGGCUGAUUAGAGCUUUUAGAUCAAGCAUCAAGUCCGUUAAGAUUCUUAAGGUUGCUGUAUAUCAUGGAAAUGUCUUGGCAUUGCACAUGUCGAAGCCACAGGGCUUCAAAUACAAGAGUGGACAGUACAUGUUUGUCAAUUGCGCUGCGGUUUCUCCCUUCGAAUGGCACCCAUUUUCUAUCACGUCAGCACCAGGAGAUGACUACCUUAGCGUGCACAUUCGAACACUGGGAGACUGGACACGGCAACUCAAAACUGUUUUCUCUGAGGUUUGUCAGCCUCCAGCUGCUGGCAAGAGUGGACUACUAAGAGCUGAGGGCACGCAAGGCGGGAACGACCCUAGCUUCCCAAAGAUAUUGAUCGACGGUCCAUAUGGAGCUCCGGCUCAGGACUACAAGAAAUACGACGUGGUGCUGUUGGUAGGGCUUGGCAUUGGUGCCACGCCCAUGAUCAGCAUUGUAAAGGACAUCAUCAAUAACAUGAAGGAAGAAGAUGGUCGUGAGACAGCCUUAGAGGGUGGGAGAGCAACUCCUAAUAAUAAUUAUAAUAGUAAGACGAGAAAAGCCUACUUCUAUUGGGUGACGAGGGAACAAGGUUCGUUCGAGUGGUUCAAAGGGAUAAUGAACGAGGUAGCUGAAAUGGACGAUAAGGGGGUGAUAGAGCUGCACAACUACUGCACCAGCGUGUAUGAAGAAGGGGACGCCAGGUCAGCCCUGAUUGCAAUGCUCCAGUCGCUCCACCAUGCAAAGAAUGGUGUGGAUGUGGUUUCUGGCACCCGAGUCAAAUCGCACUUUGCCAAGCCUAACUGGCGCCAAGUCUACAAGAAAAUAGCUCUCCAUCAUCCAGAUGCAAGAAUUGGAGUUUUCUACUGUGGGGCACCAGCACUCACGAAAGAGCUAAGGCAACUGGCUUUGGACUUCUCUCACCGGACCUCCACUAAGUUCGAUUUUCAUAAAGAGAACUUUUGAGGGACACCCAUGUACAGUAUUGCAAUUAACACCGACUGAAGCUUCGUGACUCUGAGUGGCGUACAACGUCAUCAAUCCAUCAGCAAUUGUUCGUUAAUUAAUUUUUGUUACUUUGAUUUAGUUUUACUAGGUAUAUAUACCAAGUCGAUAAUCAUCCUUCCAAUUAAAGAGAGUGGUGAUGAUAUAGAUAUAGAUAAUAAAUAAGCUCAUCAUUCGGUUGUAUUCAUUAAAAGAACUCAAGCUUAAUAGUCUACAUGUGAUUCGUGCCAUAUAGAUAAGAAUUACUGUUACCAAAUGCUAAAUUUUCAAACUAGCAUGGGAUUUUGCAUUCUUGAAAUUUGUAAUAAUGGCCCUCAAAACUCUUUGAGACAAAUAGAUGGCAAUAAUGCCCCUCGGAAAGCAAUUUAAUUUCAUUGGGACGAAUCACAUGUAGACUAUUAAGCUUGA
rnacentral:misc_RNA from 1 species